rnacentral:rRNA from 1 species
CAAGUCGAACGGUAGAGGGGGCAACCCCUUGAGAGUGGCGAACGGGUGAGUAAUAUAUCGGAACGUGCCCAGUCGUGGGGGAUAACGUAGCGAAAGUUACGCUAAUACCGCAUACGAUCUAAGGAUGAAAGCGGGGGAUCGCAAGACCUCGCGCGGCUGGAGCGGCCGAUAUCAGAUUAGGUAGUUGGUAGGGUAAAGGCCUACCAAGCCAACGAUCUAUAGCUGGUCUGAGAGGACGACCAGCCACACUGGAACUGAGACACGGUCCAGACUCCUACGGGAGGCAGCAGUGGGGAAUUUUGGACAAUGGGCGAAAGCCUGAUCCAGCCAUUCCGCGUGCAGGAUGAAGGCCCUCGGGUUGUAAACUGCUUUUGUACAGAACGAAAAGGUUCCUAUUAAUACUAGGAGCUCAUGACGGUACUGUAAGAAUAAGCACCGGCUAACUACGUGCCAGCAGCCGCGGUAAUACGUAGGGUGCAAGCGUUAAUCGGAAUUACUGGGCGUAAAGCGUGCGCAGGCGGUUAUAUAAGUCAGAUGUGAAAUCCCCGGGCUCAACCUGGGAACUGCAUUUGAGACUGUAUAGCUAGAGUACGGUAGAGGGGGAUGGAAUUCCGCGUGUAGCAGUGAAAUGCGUAGAUAUGCGGAGGAACACCGAUGGCGAAGGCAAUCCCCUGGACCUGUACUGACGCUCAUGCACGAAAGCGUGGGGAGCAAACAGGAUUAGAUACCCUGGUAGUCCACGCCCUUAACGAUGUCAACUGGUUGUUGGGUCUUAACUGACUCAGUAACGAAGCUAACGCGUGAAGUUGACCGCCUGGGGAGUACGGUCGCAAGGU